rnacentral:rRNA from 1 species
AACGAACGCUGGCGGCAUGCCUAACACAUGCAAGUCGAACGAGACCUUCGGGUCUAGUGUCGCACGGGUGCGUAACGCGUGGGAACCUGCCCUUAGGUUCGGAAUAACUCCCCGACAGGGGUGCUAAUACCGGAUAAUGUCUUCGGACCAAAGAUUUAUCGCCUUUGGAUGGGCCCGCGUUGGAUUAUCUAGUUGGUAGGGUAAAAGCCUACCAAGGCGACGAUCCAUAGCUGGUCUGAGAGGAUGAUCAGCCACACUGGGACUGAGACACGGCCCAGACUCCUACGGGAAGCAGCAGUGGGGAAUAUUGGACAAUGGGCGAAAGCCUGAGCCAGCAAUGCCGCGUGAGUGAUGAAGGCCUUAGGGUUGUAAAGCUCUUUUACCCGGGAUGAUAAUGACAGUACCGGGAGAAUAAGCGCCGGCUAACUCCGUG